AGCGAACGCUGGCGGCAGGCCUAACACAUGCAAGUCGAACGGAUCCUUCGGGAUUAGUGGCGGACGGGUGAGUAACACGUGGGAACGUGCCCUUUGGUUCGGAACAACUCAGGGAAACUUGAGCUAAUACCGGAUGUGCCCUUCGGGGGAAAGAUUUAUCGCCAUUGGAGCGGCCCGCGUCUGAUUAGCUAGUUGGUUAGGUAACUGCCCACCAAGGCGACGAUCAGUAGCUGGUCUGAGAGGAUGAUCAGCCACACUGGGACUGAGACACGGCCCAGACUCCUACGGGAGGCAGCAGUGGGGAAUCUUGCGCAAUGGGCGAAAGCCUGACGCAGCCAUGCCGCGUGAAUGAUGAAGGUCUUAGGAUUGUAAAAUUCUUUCAGCGGGGACGAUAAUGACGGUACCCGCAGAAGAAGCUCCGGCUAACUUCGUG
rnacentral:rRNA from 1 species